CGAGAAUCGAUACUAAUACGC
rnacentral:miRNA from 1 species